AAGAGCUCCUUGGUUUCUGCGAAACCCUCCUUGGCAAUACCCAUCUCCCUUGGAAAAUCCCUAACCUUUUCCAUCUUCCAAAUUUCCCUCCAUUACUCUCUGUCUCUUCUUCUCUCUCUUUUCCAAUUUCGUCACCUGAAGCGCCACCAACCAAUUCAUCUUCUUCCUCAAUCAUCUACCAGAACAGAUAGGGUUUCUUUCCUUUCCCUGAAAUCAGUGCAUUCUCUGUCGAAGGCUUUUUACUUUCAACCCAUAAUGGAAGUUCAAGAUCUUGACAAGCAUAUCAAACAACAGAAGAUGCUUCCACCUCCAGUUGGAAUCUUUCAGACGCGUGAAGACCUUCUCAAACAUGUCCGUGACUUUGCCUUGUCACAAGGAUAUAUGGUAUCUAUUAAAGAUUCUUCCAAGGAUAGGUAUGUGACCGUUGCCUGUGAUAAGGGUGGUGUUUACCGUAAAAGGCUUAAGUCUGGUGAUAAUAUGCGGCAAAGGAAAAUGCCCUCUCGGCUUACAAAUUGUCCAUUUGAAGUUGUGGGGAAAAAAGAUGAUGAGCUGUGGACACUCACCAUUAAGCAUGGAGAACACAAUCAUGAACCAGCGACAGAUAUCUCUGACCACCCCUCUUGCCGCCGUUUCACAGAAGAGGAGAUCUUAAUAAUAAGAGAAAUGAGCACAGCUGGUAAACGGCCACGCCAAAUUCUCAAGGUGCUGAGGCAGAGGAAUCCAAAUCUCAUAUUGGAUUCCAGGAAUGUUUACAAUGUCAAAGCCAAGAUCCGUCGGGAGAGUCUCUCAGCCAAGAACAUGGAUUCACCGUCAUCCUCGUCAGCAGCGACAAUGGGAGUGCCGUCAGAAGGUGCAGUGGGAAAUGUAAAUGGAAAUGAAGUGGGAACGACGGCGUCUUUUGCUGGGUACAUGGAGACGAGAGGAGUGAGGGAGGCGAGAGUGUUGGCAUCGGAGCUAUGCCGGCACAUGUACACACUUGGGUGGUUCUCUGGUACUGGAGGCAGCAUCACCAUAAAAGUUCAUGAUGAUUCCAUACCUAAACCUCGUCAGCUUGUUGUCAUUUCGCCUUCCGGUGUUCAGAAAGAGAGAAUGGUUCCAGAGGACAUGUAUGUGCUUUCUUCAGAUGGGUUUAUAUUGUCAACACCUCCUCUUAAGCCUUACCCUCAUAAACCACCCAAGUGUACUGAUUGUACUCCUCUCUUCAUGAAGGUUUAUGAAAUGCGUGAUGCUGGGGCUGUUAUUCAUAGUCAUGGAAUGGAGUCUUGUAUUGUAACGAUGAUCCUCCCUUUCUCAAAGGAAUUUCGAAUAACUCAUAUGGAGAUGAUUAAGGGAAUUAAGGGACAUGGUUAUCAUGAUGAGCUUGUGGUCCCAAUAAUUGAGAACACUGCCCAUGAAGCAGAGCUUGUUGAAUCUCUUACUGAAGCGAUCACAGCUUACCCAAAAACAACAGCUGUGCUUGUUCGCAACCAUGGGGUGUAUGUAUGGGGAGACUCAUGGAUCAGUGCUAAGACUCAGGCUGAAUGCUAUCACUAUCUUUUUGAUGCUGCUAUCAAGCUUCAUCAGUUGGGAUUAGACUGGUCAACGCCAACUCAUGGUCCCAUUCGCAGUAUAAAUGGAAUUUGGGGUUGCAAUGGAACUAUGAGUAGGGGUCUGAAAGUUGGGGGUCUGAGCUUGGAUGAUAUGAUUGAACCUUCUCAACGCUGUAUACUUCUUGACAUUGAAGGGACAACUACUCCUAUAUCAUUUGUUACAGAUGUUCUUUUUCCCUAUGCCCAUGCCAAUGUGGGAAAGCAUUUAGCUGCAACAUUUGAUAGUGAAGAAACUCAAGAUGAUAUAAAUUUGUUGCGCUCUCAAGUAAGAUUCUCUUGGUCUCAUCAUCUGUCAUCAAUAUUAAGGUACUCAUUUGUGUUAUGGUCUGCUCAUUUCAAUUGCAAUAUUAUGCUCUUCUUGCUCUUUAAGCUUUGUAAUUCUUAUCAAUCACUCAGUUUAAACGGCUAGAUGUGUCUAUGGGCAAGUAUGUCGAAUAAAAGGUAUGCGGUUUUAUCUGUAUUCAUCCUUUCCACUUCUAUCAUAAAUCAGUCUCCACUGAUUACUCCUCUUUCUGUAAGGUAUCGCUGAUGUUAUGCCAUUACUUGUGAAAUCAUAUGUGCUUUCCAUUUCCUUAGUUUUUUCUUUGACAGUUUUUAAAGGAGCCAGAUUGUUAACAUUUUUUUUCCUAUUUGGUUUGCUCUGAAGCCUUAUUUUAACAGUAUUUGAUUGGUUAUAAUCUAGAGAAUCAAUUUGUUUCUCUCCCCCAAAUGCAUGCACAAUCGCAUACACAUUCACCCAAAUAGGAAAAGACACAUGUGCACCAAAUAAGAAGCAUUUGAUGUUUUACUAUAUUAAUUAGCCAUAAUCAAUCUUGGUUGCUGUCCCCCAGAUGAGUAUGGAUUUUAUUGUGCAGUUGUUGGCUUAUUGCAUGCAAAAUUCAGAUGAAUUACAAUUGUGGUCUCUUGGGUGCCAAAGUUGAUUCAGCAUGAUUUGGAACAUGGUGUUGUUGGUGCUGUGCCCAUCCCUCCAGAUUAUGUGGGCAAAGAGUUGGUGAUUGCUUCUUUUGUUGCUAAUGUUGAAGCAAUG